rnacentral:rRNA from 1 species
GACGAACGCUGGCGGCGUGCUUAACACAUGCAAGUCGAACGGAGAGGCCCUGCUUUUGUGGGGUGCUCGAGUGGCGAACGGGUGAGUAACACGUGAGUAACCUGCCCUUGACUUUGGGAUAACUUCAGGAAACUGGGGCUAAUACCGGAUAGGAGCUCCUGCUGCAUGGUGGGGGUUGGAAAGUUUCGGCGGUUGGGGAUGGACUCGCGGCUUAUCAGCUUGUUGGUGGGGUAGUGGCUUACCAAGGCUUUGACGGGUAGCCGGCCUGAGAGGGUGACCGGCCACAUUGGGACUGAGAUACGGCCCAGACUCCUACGGGAGGCAGCAGUGGGGAAUAUGGCACAAUGGGCGGAAGCCUGAUGCAGCAACGCCGCGUGCGGGAUGACGGCCUUCGGGUGGUAAACCGCUUUCGCCUGUGACGAAGCGUGAGUGACGGUAAUGGGUAAAGAAGCACCGGCUAACUACGU